rnacentral:rRNA from 1 species
UAGUCCACACCGUAAACGCUGUCUACUAGCUGUUUGUGAGUUUAACUCGUGAGUAGCGAAGCUAACGCGCUAAGUAGACCGCCUGGGGAGUACGGUCGCAAGAUUAAAACUCAAAUGAAUUGACGGGGGCCCGCACAAGCGGUGGAGCAUGUGGUUUAAUUCGAUGCAACGCGAAGAACCUUACCUACACUUGACAUUCAGAGAACUUACCAGAGAUGGUUUGGUGCCUUCGGGAACUCUGGGACAGGUGCUGCAUGGCUGUCGUCAGCUCGUGUUGUGAAAUGUUGGGUUAAGUCCCGCAACGAGCGCAACCCUUAUCCUUUGUUGCCAGCGGUCCGGCCGGGAACUCAAAGGNGACUGCCAGUGAUAAACUGGGAGGAAGGUGGGGAUGACGUCAAGUCAUCGUGGCCCUUAC